rnacentral:rRNA from 1 species
AAACUAACAAGGAUUCCCCUAGUAGCGGCGAGCGAAGCGGGAAGAGCUCAAAUUUGUAAUCUGGCACCUUCGGUGUCCGAGUUGUAAUCUCGAGAAGUGUUUUCCGCGCCAGACCGCAUACAAGUCUGUUGGAAUACAGCGUCAUAGUGGUGAGAACCCCGUAUAUGAUGCGGAUGCCUGGUGCUCUGUGAUACACUUUCGAAGAGUCGAGUUGUUUGGGAAUGCAGCUCAAAUUGGGUGGUAAAUUCCAUCUAAAGCUAAAUAUUGGCGAGAGACCGAUAGCGAACAAGUACCGUGAGGGAAAGAUGAAAAGCACUUUGGAAAGAGAGUUAACAGUACGUGAAAUUGUUGGAAGGGAAACGCUUGAAGUCAGACUUGCUAUUUGGAAUUCAGCCGCAAGGUGUAUUUUUCAAUUUGCAGGCCAGCAUCAGUUUUCGGGGAUGGAAAAGGAUUAGGAGAAGGUAGCAGUUUCGGCUGUGUUAUAGCUCUUAAUUGGAUUCAUCCCUGGGGACUGAGGAACGCAGCUCGGCUAGGAUGC